rnacentral:lncRNA from 1 species
GGAAAUCCAUGUUUUGGCAUUCAGGAGAGAGCAGCAGACUAACCAAAAGAAAGACUUUCCAGUGGUCAAUGAGAUUAGUGGUCAAAAUGCUGUGAUUCUGUGUGUGUGAUGAGGGGCAAUCUUUUCAUUUCUCUAUAGCUUAGAUCUCUAUCACUAGGGAGCAAUUAACAUUCUCUUUGGUACUCUGAUAGAAGUGCUAUUUGCUUUUCGGCUGACAUUUUAAGGGCACUCAUACCUUCGCUUUAGAUUUGCACAUGUCUAAAGGCAGCAUCAAAUUCUCAUAUUCUCUCUUCACUUCUUGCAAGCUCCUCUGUAGAGGAGAGCUUGAAGGGAAGAAAAAGAAAAAAGUCACUAACUUGUCUCUUUUUUGCCUUUUUUGUACAGUCAUUUUCAACAAUGGGAACUUUCACAAGGAGUACACACACAAGGGAGCAAGAAGGAAGGAGAAUGCUCUCAGUAUGCCUAUUUCCAGGGGGAAAGAAAAAAACAAACGAAGAACUCGAGGUUGUAUUUCCAGCAAUACUGAAGGACAAAGAGGAUCUCAAGGCAUUGCCCCAGGCCUUAUAUCUCUGCCAUUGUGGAAUUGUGUUCUGAUACUUCCAAAACUCCAUCUGGAACCUACUUGCAUUUUAAGCUGCCUUUAGUCCAGUACAGGAUUUUGGGGACUGUGGUAACAGCUAGAUUCUUUAUGAUUCUGCCAUGUGGCAUGACAAACCCAAGUGCACGCUGGCAUGUUUAACAAGGACAAGAUAAAGAGUGCCAGCACGAGUUAUGUUGGGAAGGAAUGAUGCAAGCUUUUGUUGCUGCUUUGCUUUCGCACCUUCCAGCCUUUUGACCAAGCUGUGCCACAAAAAUGUGAGAAACAUGUCAUUUGCUGGAGGGGUGAGGAAAUACUGCUAUUCUGAGCAGGAAAGAAUAAAGUCAGUCACUGAGCCA